ACCCGCUGAACUUAAGCAUAUCAAUAAGCGGAGGAAAAGAAACCAACAGGGAUUGCCCUAGUAACGGCGAGUGAAGCGGCAACAGCUCAAAUUUGAAAUCCGGCUCCGGCCCGAGUUGUAAUUUGUAGAGGAAGCUUUUGGUGCGGCACCUACCGAGUCCCCUGGAACGGGGCGCCAUAGAGGGUGAGAGCCCCGUAUGGUAGGACGCCAAUCCUCUGUAAAGCUCCUUCGACGAGUCGAGUAGUUUGGGAAUGCUGCUCUAAAUGGGAGGUAAAUUUCUUCUAAAGCUAAAUAUUGGCCAGAGACCGAUAGCGCACAAGUAGAGUGAUCGAAAGAUGAAAAGCACUUUGAAAAGAGGGUUAAACAGCACGUGAAAUUGUUGAAAGGGAAGCGCUUGUGACCAGACUUGCGCCGGGCUGAUCAUCCGGAGUUCUCUCCGGUGCACUCUGCCCGGCUCAGGCCAGCAUCGGUUCUCGUGGGGGGAUAAAGGCCCUGGGAAUGUAGCUCCUCCAGGAGUGUUUUUAGCCCAGGGUGCAAUGCCCUCGCGGGGACCGAGGAUCGCGCUCUGCAAGGAUGCUGGCGUAAUGGUCACCAGCGACCCGUCUUGAAACACGG
rnacentral:rRNA from 1 species